AUUUAUGUAUGUUCAACUAUUAUGUGCGAGCCUAGAACCGGUGAAAGAUUUUUAGACGUAUGUGAUUAGUAUAUGUGUAUCUAUACUAUACUAAAAGGACAAUAUCCUCAAUGGAGAACAUGUCCACAUAGGAUUAAAAAAUCAACCAAUCAUAGUGUAAAUUUGUGCCACAUCAUCAGCUUAUUCUCACGAACACAACUCCGUUUACUCUUCCUUUCGUUUCCUCUUGAAUUAGACGAAGACGGUUGAGCAGCCCCUUCCCCUUCAUCUCCCUUUCCCUCACCGUACAAAUUAUUUAUGGCUUCAUCAUCUCUCCUCUUACAAUCCUCACAAUCUAAGUGAAAGCUACAAUCACAAUCUAAAGAUUCUUCACACAGUGCAACAAUUUCUAAAACACUGAUUCUCACCAUCGCAUUCGUAGAAUGCACUGCUCGAGUUUUGCGAGAGUGGUCAAGGCCAAAUAGCAAGUUGUAGAUGAAAUUCUGCAUCAUCUGAAUCUGGAGAAUCAAGAAGAGGCUAUAAAGAAGAAGCCAUGGAUGAACUUCAACUAAUUACAUGAGUUUAUACCUGCGAGUGAUGAUGCGCCUACCAUACUCCCUCAGAUCUUGGUUGCCAAAAAGAUUGGAAUUUUGUUAUUUUUUUUUUGUUGGAUUCGCCACACACCUCACAAGCUCCAAUGGCUUGAAUAGUAUUCUCUGUUCUUCUCUACUCAGUUGUUUUCUCCAUCUCUUUCUUUCUGUUCUCUUAUGGUUUUGUUUACAGAGCGUAUCAGCAUCCAGAUGAGCAACUUAGCAUAUAAUUGGGUUUAGCUCCAAGACGGAUCAAGAUUUGGUUUCAGAACCGAAGAACACAGACGAAGCUCAAGAGAGCUGAUAAUUGUGCACUCAAGGAAGAGAAUUAUAGGAUUCGUUAUGAAAACGAUGUCAUUAGAGAAGCUCUCAAAUACGCCACCAAAACUCUUACUUUGAUGAACAGAAGCUUUGAAUCAAAAAUGCUUAGAGAAGAGUGAUGUGAACAUGAUUUUCAAAUAUAGUUGGAUAAUAGCCAUCACAGCAGAGAUCAAGAUGGGACUCAAGGUAAGAAAGACAACAACGGAUGCGGUGGUGGAAAUUCUUGUGGUGCCGUGUUCACGCGGUGGUUUGUGGCGAGGUGAGGAAACAAGAGGGAUGAGAAGGGGGAUUGAGCCUGUUGUCUAGAAGUAGAUUACUGCUAUCCGCACUAUCAGAAGUUCUCUGACAAUGUAAACCAGUACUGAUUUUGACUUUUCAAGGGUAUCUACAGGAGCAUCACUUCCUCUUUCUACUUGCUCUGCUAGCCAUCCUUCAAUCCCUUGAAGCACAUAAACAUCAACUCCAAGAGUGAAGAUAGCUUUUACAUUCUUUUGAAAAUAAGAUUCCCAAGCUCAUCGAAGAACUCUGCUUUUGAGAGUCAAUUACCAUUGUCCCUCUUCAAUCUAACGGCCAAAGGAUCAAAUCCCACUUCUGUUAGCGGAUCUUCAACUUUAGAUGCUUCCUUAACAAUCUUCUUAGCUUCUUCAAACCGUCUCGCUUUGCAGUAUCCAGCCACCAUUACCUUAACCGUCGACGACCUCAACAACACUCCGUUCUCCUUCAUCUCCUCCAGAAUACAACCGGUAUGCUCCCACAGUACUUUUCUAAAAAGCCCGCUCAAGAUAGCGUUGUAGCUAUACACAUCAGGCUUUAAACCCUUUGACGCACUCUCAGAUAAGUAAAGAAACGCUCUUCUCAGAUCUCCUUCGUGACAGCACCAGCCGAUCAAGAUACCGUAUGUAGCCUCAUCGGGUUUAAACCCCAAGCGUUGAAGCUCCUUUACAUAUACGUAAGCUCUCUCCGAGCCAAACCUCUUGCAGAGAGAAUGCACAAUCCUGUUCCCAACGAACACAUCAGGUUUGUACUUAACCUCACGGAUGAAACUCAGCAGAUCCUCGAAGUCCUAUUAGAAGUUAUAUUAUUAUUGUUUUUCUUUCUGAUUUUAGUUUGAUACAUGGCUUAUUAGAUUUUGGUUGUUAUAUAAUCUUUAUAAGUUCGUCUCUUACAUGGUUUAAAUUGUGGUAGAAGAAAGGAAGAACAAUUAUAUUUAAACAAGAUGAAGUCAGUCACCUUCCUCA